rnacentral:tRNA from 1 species
GGAGGCGUGGCCGAGUGGUCGAAGGCACUUCCCUGCUAAGGAAGCAUACGGGCUUAAACUCGUAUCGUGGGUUCGACUCCCACCGCCUCCUCCA